CGGUCACGCCACAACCAUUUUCUCCAUAAUAAGCAGGAUAUUGGAAAUGAAGAAGUUUGAUUUGUUGCUAAGCAACUGGAGAUCCAUGCACCAGACUCACCUAUCUCUUAUGGUGAAGACACAGUUCAAGUGUUGUUCCAUGGUGUUGCAAUUAACGACUAGUGUUGAUUGAGGAGACGAGAGAGCUGUGAAUCUUGGGAUGAAAAGUGACACAAUUAAAGAGACCCCAGAAGGAAUUAAGUGGAGUGAGAGAGAGAGAAGAAACAUAUUGGCUUGCUCUGAGACAGGAUUAUGGACUAAUGCACUAAGUGGACAGAGAUGAAGUGCAAGUUCUGAGUGGCUGGCUUCCAGAAUCAUGCAGAGCUGUGUUUCCGACCAGAUCAUCGGAUCCUGUGGUCAGUUUCAACAAUGUUAUUCUAAUGUGUGAAAUGGUUUUCCAUCCCCCUUGUUGUGCUUCCUGGGAGUAAUGCAACUGUGAUAAUGUAAACCAUUUUGAACAAACAUACUUGCAACAGAGUGUAGGGAAAUAUAUACAGUAUGUUCAUGUAAGUAUUUUCUACACUCAAGCUGACAUAAAGUCACCCAAUAAAUAAGUGUUGCCUCCCCUUCUCUAUCACUGUGUACCAGUGAGUGUGCAGUCAGUCACUAUGACGCAGGGAGGGGGUCCAACAAUCUGCUAUGAGUCACACCUGCAGAUGACUGACAUAUCAAUCACCUCAGGGGUCAAGCAUAUCACAGUCUCCAGAAAGCAAUAUAGAAGAGGUUAAAAACCCACACAAACAAUAACUGAAUGUAUAAAACCGUCAUUGUUCAGUCAGAAUGACUACUGUUUAGAGUGUCUGAGUCUUUAGAAUGUAUGCUUGCUCAAAAUGUCUGCAUGUUUAGUUACAGUAGAAUGUCUGAUUGUGUACAUGCGUUUAGAUCAGUAUGUUUAUCGUCGUUAUUAAGGUCAGGGUAAAAAAGAUGCUUCCGGAGGACCUGCACACUGCAUGUGGUGUAGACAGGCACAUAACGCGACUCCUGCACCUGGUGAUCAAGCCUCGUUACAUAAUGGUGACCAAUGUUCAAAGCCACAGUAAUAUCAGACAUGCACAUUUCUUAAAUUAAACAAUGUCAUGAUUAAUACAGAUCUGUAGCAGUGACCCGCUCUGUGACUCACUGUGUGCUCAGAGAGGAAGGGCAGCUUUUGAGUCCCCUGAGCUCAAUGUUCAAAUUUGGUGUCCCCAUCUGAAUAACACGCUGAU